UUAAGUUCAGCGGGUAUCCCUACCUGAUCCGAGGUCAACCAUUAGAAAGAUGGGGUUGCUGGCCAGCACCUACCGGGACCCUAUAGCGAGAGAAGUUACUACGCUUAGGGCCUAGUAGGGCCGCCACUGAUUUUAAGGCCCGCCCAGAGGCGAGGCCCAAGACCAGCAAGCUGGAGGGGUUAUAAUGACGCUCGGACAGG
rnacentral:misc_RNA from 1 species